rnacentral:rRNA from 1 species
UAAGCGAGCGCAGGGCGGUGAUUUAAGUCUGAUGUGAAAGCCCCCAGCUCAACUGGGGAGGGUCAUUGGAAACUGGAUCACUUGAGUGCAGAAGAGGAGAGUGGAAUUCCAUGUGUAGCGGUGAAAUGCGUAGAUAUAUGGAGGAACACCAGUGGCGAAGGCGGCUCUCUGGUCUGUAACUGACGCUGAGGCUCGAAAGCGUGGGUAGCAAACAGGAUUAGAUACCCUGGUAGUCCACGCCGUAAACGAUGAGUGCUAAGUGUUGGAGGGUUUCCGCCCUUCAGUGCUGCAGUUAACGCAUUAAGCACUCCGCCUGGGGAGUACGACCGCAAGGUUGAAACUCAAAGGAAUUGACGGGGGCCCGCACAAGCGGUGGAGCAUGUGGUUUAAUUCGAAGCAACGCGAAGAACCUUACCAGGUCUUGACAUCCUUUGACCGCACCAGAGAUGGUGUUUCCCCUUCGGGGGCAAAGUGACAGGUGGUGCAUGGUUGUCGUCAGCUCGUGUCGUGAGAUGUUGGGUUAAGUCCCGUAACGAGCGCAACCCUUAUUGUUAGUUGCCAGCAUUCAGUUGGGCACUCUAGCAAGACUGCCGGUGACAAACCGGAGGAAGGCGGGGAUGACGUCAAAUCAUCAUGCCCCUUAUGACCUGGGCUACACACGUGCUACAAU